UGGGGAAUUUUGGACAAUGGGCGAAAGCCUGAUCCAGCAAUGCCGCGUGUGUGAAGAAGGCCUUCGGGUUGUAAAGCACUUUUGUCCGGAAAGAAAUCCUUGGCUCUAAUACAGUCGGGGGAUGACGGUACCGGAAGAAUAAGCACCGGCUAACUACGUGCCAGCAGCCGCGGUAAUACGUAGGGUGCAAGCGUUAAUCGGAAUUACUGGGCGUAAAGCGUGCGCAGGCGGUUUGCUAAGACCGAUGUGAAAUCCCCGGGCUCAACCUGGGAACUGCAUUGGUGACUGGCAGGCUAGAGUAUGGCAGAGGGGGGUAGAAUUCCACGUGUAGCAGUGAAAUGCGUAGAGAUGUGGAGGAAUACCGAUGGCGAAGGCAGCCCCCUGGGCCAAUACUGACGCUCAUGCACGAAAGCGUGGGGAGCAAACAGGAUUAGAUACCCUGGUAGUCCACGCCCUAAACGAUGUCAACUAGUUGUGGGGAUUCAUUUCCUAGUAACGUAGCUAACGCGUGAAGUUGACCGCCUGGGGAGUACGGUCGCAAGGUUGAAACUCAAAGGAAUUGACGGGGUCAUAGCUGUUUCCU
rnacentral:rRNA from 1 species